rnacentral:rRNA from 1 species
UCCUACGGGAGGCAGCAGUCGGGAAUAUUGCGCAAUGGGCGAAAGCCUGACGCAGCCAUGCCGCGUGUGUGAAGAAGGCCCUAGGGUUGUAAAGCACUUUCAAUUGGGAGGAAAAGCUAAUAGUUAAUACCUAUUAGCCCUGACGUUACCUUUAGAAGAAGCACCGGCUAACUCCGUGCCAGCAGCCGCGGUAAUACGGAGGGUGCAAGCGUUAAUCGGAAUUACUGGGCGUAAAGCGCGCGUAGGCGGUUUUUUAAGUCGGAUGUGAAAGCCCCGGGCUCAACCUGGGAACUGCAUCCGAUACUGGAUCACUAGAAUGCGGGAGAGGGAGGUAGAAUUCCAUGUGUAGCAGUGAAAUGCGUAGAUAUAUGGAGGAAUACCAGUGGCGAAGGCGGCCUCCUGGCUCGACAUUGACGCUGAGGUGCGAAAGCGUGGGGAGCAAACGGGAUUAGAUACCCCGGUAGUCCACGCCGUAAACGAUGUCUACUAGCUGUAGGGGUACUUGAGACCUUUGUAGCGCAGCUAACGCAAUAAGUAGACCGCCUGGGGAGUACGGCCGCAAGAUUAAAACUCAAAUGAAUUGACGG